rnacentral:lncRNA from 1 species
UGGUUUUUUUUUUUUUUUUCUUGCCAGGAUACUGCCUGGGAUUUUCCUCCCCGGAUCCUAAAAGCAGGCUGAUUAGCCAUUACCAGAGAGAUGGUUCCUUUGACAAGCAAGUGUUUUGAUUGGAUUUUGAUGCCAUUAAGGACAUCAAGUGAGUCUGUUGCAUUCAGGGGUUGAACAAAGCCAACAGGUCUCCAGUCUCCUUCAAACGGGUUUCUUAUUCCAUAGAAAUUCCCCCUGGAGAAAAAUGAGCCUAAUUAAAGCAGAGCGCUCAGAGGCAAGCCUUAAGAAAGACUCUAUCCACAGAGAGAAUAAGCGUCGCAGGGAAUUGGAGGGAUGUGACUACUGGGUCUCUCUGGGUUCUUCAAGGAAACAAUUUACAAUGGUCUGCCCUGCAAGCUUUAGGAGAGUGAUUCCCACGUUGGCAUCAACAAUCUCCAGAACUUACCCUAAACACCGAUUCCCGGGCCCUCGCAUUGACUCCACUCCAGCGGUGGGGUGGGGCUCUGGAAUGUGUCUUUCAUGCACAGCCCACAGACCGGGUUGAUGCAACCCAUUGCAGGGAUGCUUCGUGGACCCCUCCCCUAAACCCCACAAAUAAAUACCUGACCAGAAGAGACAUUGCACCAGUCCAGAGCUCCCCAGGGUGGUGCCAAGACUGCAACCCUGGGGAAGCCAGUUUGCUAUUCAGGGCACGCAGUUCUAGGGAGCCAGGCUCGCGGUGCUCAGAGAUGGGGAAGGCCCUUCUUUAUACAAAAGGAGCUCCUGGAGCCCCAAACCCUGCGCGAUGUGGGGUCCAGGCCAACUGAACGAGAUCUUAGGACUGCCGCGCAGUCGCCCCCAGACCCCAGCCUUGCCGCCUGGGUGCAGCCGGGAAAUCUGCGGUAAGAUGUCCAAAAGACCAUUGUGUCGCCGCCUGCAUGCCAACCUCCUAGGGACCGCACCUCGGCCAGGCGUCCGCUCACGGUUUCUCAGCGUGACUUCAGCGAGAGCCUCCUGCUCCUACAGGGACGUGACAGGGAGCAGGGCUUGGUCCCCAACUGGGAGACCUUCCGAGGGUCCUGUCGCCCCGGCCCCGCCCCGCCUCCGAGAUGCCCGCAUCGCUACCAGGUUGGGAACCUGCGGCACCGGGCGCGUCCGAAAGCGUUCGACUGGGCAGGGGCGCCCCCUAGUGUCCCGUGCGAGCGCUGUAUCCUGUCCCCCGCGGGGGCUCGCCCAGACAUAGGGUCGAAGCACAGGUUCAAGACCGGAAGGGCAGCUUUAGCUUCUAAACCUGCGUCACAGGAGGCUGUUCUCCCUGGGUUCGUCCCCAGGGGAUGCUUAAAAAAGGAAUCUCGGCAGCGUGGUGGCCUAAGCCGACUGCGGUGAGUUCCAGCCCAGGCUGCAUUGUAUAGUUAAGUCCAGGGCAUUUGUGUCAACCACCACCACAAAAAAAAAAAAAAAAAAAAAAAAAA